rnacentral:tRNA from 1 species
GUGGAAGCUCAGUGGUAGAGUGCUUGCCUAGCAUGCAUGAGGCCUGGGGUUCUAUCUCUAGUUCCACG